UAUAGCUCAGUUGGUAGAGCAGCGCAUUCGUAAUGCGAAGGUCGUAGGUUCGACUCCUA
rnacentral:tRNA from 2 species